UUUGCAAUUUUUUUAUUUUCUUUAGAAAUUUUUGGAGAAAUGUGUUCUGAAAUGUUGUUUAACAUUUGAAAAUGUAUUUUUUAGUUCUAAUUUUGGUUGUGAUCUUUAAUGUUUUUGCUUUGAGCGAUUUGUUGACAGGGUUUGGACUUCAGGGCCACCGUACCCCAAAUAUCCUGUAAAUCUUUGCAUCACCACAAGAUUUGAAACCAGAGGAACAUACUUUUGUAUCUUUUGUUCCAUAUCCUGUGUGUUUUUGUAACUUUCUCUCACAUAUUUCAGAUUCUUUAAGGGAAAGAUUAUUUUUUUUCUCUCCUAUAUUUUGUGUUUUUGCAACUUUCCCUCACAUAUUUCAGAUUAAAAGAAUAAAAAGUUGGUAUCUUGCAACAAACAUUUAUAACAAUGUUACAAAGCUGCAGUUAUUUCAGGAUAGAAGUGGGGCUGAGAUGCAUGGCUUCACCUCCUUCAACACCAGAUAAAGAACUUGUGCACACACACAUGCGCACACACAGUGGACAGAAAGGACUCACACUGAAGGGGAACAAUGGAUGGAGAGGGGACACCUGCUUGUCUGACAACCCCCCUUCCUCCUCCUCCUCUUCAUCACACCAGCCUCUCAGCUAUUAGGAUUCAGUUCAGGGCUCUGCUCCGUCUCCGUGAGUGGGUCAGCCAUGCGUGUCAUGGUGAAAUCCAGUGAAUGAUAAUGAACUUAGUGAACGUGCGCGCAAGUGUGCGCAAAAGAGGAGGAGGAGGAGGAGGAGGAGAGGAGGAGGCUUGUUGAAUCACUCCCUCCAUCCUUCCAUCCUAUCUAUCCAUCCAUCUGUCCCUCCUCCUCUUCCUCCUCCUCCUCCUCGUUGGUGGUGUGUCGGUGUUGGAGAGCUCUGACACACACGCGCGCACACACACCUCCGCCGAUGUGUCACUACCCAUUCCACCUGCCUCCUCCUGUCAUUCCCCGCCUGGCGCUCCAUCUAACCUCCACUCUUCCUCUCCAUCCUCCAGCUUUCUCCUUUUUAUUUGUUCAAACUCAUGGCUCUCCUCCUCUCCACUCUUCCUCCGUGUCCUCCUCCACACCCCCUCCCCUUUACGCGCGGUGUGUCACCGCCGCCGACAAGAAAGAAAGAAAAGAAAAGAAAGAAAGAAAGAAAGAAAGAAAAAUGCUCCUGUCGACACGUGAAAAGAGACAGCAGGAACGGAGUCCAAGAGGAGCAGAGGGAGCGGAGCGCGCGGCGAUCCGCCUGAUCCAAACGGGCCAGAGCCUUCCUUGAUGGAAUAUCCCGGACGGUGGAAGGAGGGCAGAAGGAGAAACAGCGGAGGAGAAGGGGAGAGAAGAUUAAUAGGACAGAGAACGCGGGAUUGCCUCGAGAGGUCCAGUCUCAUUGUCCUCGCGCGCACACUUGGCUGCAGAGCGCGUGUGUGUCCGUGUGCAUGUGAGGACGAAGCCUCAUGAGCCGGUCAUCCCUGCAGCUCCACUUCCCACUCUGAGGUCUGCGCGGAUGCCGUACCUCAGGUAGACCAUGCCGUUCACCUGCGCCUGCUUCUGCGGCCUGAACGGCUUCUGCUGCAGACGGAAGAAGAAACGGAGGGAGCGCGUGGAGGAAAGGGAGGGCGAGGGAGAAGAGCAGCGGAGGGAUGAGGAGACAGAGGUGUGACGGGAUCUCCGUCUGGAUCUGCGCAUCUCAAUAUGUUUUUUAAAGCAGUUUUUCACUUUUUUGUGUACAUAAAUGAGACUAAUGAUGUUUAAGACACGAUGAUCUGUUCUGAAUGUCGUUCUGAAUCAGAGCAUCGUUUUUCUAAUGUGAUUCAGAGAAAAUCCUUUAUUUUGUAUAAAUAUAAAUAUAACAGCUGCUGUGCUGCACAAAGACGUGAAGAGGCUCUAAAAAUCGAUUGUUUGGUUCAGUCUUUUCCACCUGUACUGGUCCCCUGGUCGGAGGCUGAGCUGGAACCGAGCCUCACCGCGUCCACACCUACCUGCUCAUGUCAGAUCAACUUAGAGAAAACUUAAGCCGAGUGAGAAGGCGCGGAGUAAUUUCCAGAGUCGCCCACGGAGUGCUGGAGCCCAUCACAGAUUUUCACGCUGCGCUGGGCUCCAUCUAAAGCCAAGCAGCUGUCCAAUCAGCAGCUUAGCUGGAGUGUGAACAUGGAAGUCAAGGGUCAGAAUGAGGAAUCCGAGAGCGCCGUGUCCUCUGAUGCUCUGUCAUCUUCGUCUAGUUAAUCGGCAGGCAGGUAAUUACGAAUAGAUUACUAAUAGCCCCCCCUCCCUUCAGCUGUCACCUGCUCCAUCUUUGGUCAUAACUGUUGACUGCUAGAGUCAAGGCGAGCGAGGUUCGGGGUUAUCUUCGGCGGCGUCCGAGCACGAAGACAAAGUCUCAUUAGCCGGCGUGAUUAUGCGCGGCACGUCCAGUCAGGCGGUGGAGAUAUAAUUAACCUUUUCCAGCAGGAAACAGAUGCCUGGAUGUCACACACAAACAUGCACAAUGACAUACAGACUCGCACACGUCUGCUGUCAGGGAAACAAAGCCGACGUCACGGUGUCACGGAGACAAAGCCCCAAAAGCGCCGCCUGGCACUCAGCGAUAAUCCCCUCACACAUUUUUUACAUUCAGAAAGUGCCUCAGUGGAUCUGUGUCUGUCUUACACCAACACCACCACCUCACUCCAUCCUUAACAUCAAACUCUCCUCGGUUUGGACGCGGCCUUGCGAAUAAACUCGAUUCCUCGGAAUGUCGGCGGUUUGGUAAAAUGUGCUAAAACACAAACGCCGUUUUAAUGGACGAGCGGAUGGCGAGUCUGAAAAGACGGUGUGUUUACACACACGCGCACGCAGGCAACGCGGUGAAACAAAGCUAAACCCAUUUCACAGAGCACGGCGCCUAUUAUGAUUCAGUGUUACGAUGCAGCUCUAAUGAGAAGCAGAGAAUGAGGGGAGGGGCCGGAGGAGGAAACCAGGAGAUGAGAAUAAGAGCGAGGGCUGGAAAUGGAGAUGGGGGGGGGGUAUGGUAGACAGAACAGUCAUGCUAAUUGGCUACAGUAGAUAACUUUCUGAAGGUUGGGGGUGGACGGGGAGGGGGUGUGAAUAGAGGUGAGGGCUGCAGCGUAAAGAGAGCAGCAUGAUCUGCCUUCAUCACCGCUCCCUUCAUUUAACCCUCCUAAUAGGAGGAAUAUUGGCUGCGGUAAUAGCCAAAGACGAAAAAUGAUUUGUUUGUAGGUGGAAGGAUGUGUUGUUGGGGAGGGCGAGGGCUGCAGGGAAAUGGCAUUUGGCAGGAGUGUGUGUUUUUUUUUUCCCAUAUCCCAAUCCUUUAUGGAUCAUGGCAAUUUUCAGGCAAUUCAAGGACAAACAGCUAAAAAUAGAAGGGCGGUGCACGACUCUCAUGAUAGCACCGAAGGGGGGAGGGGGGAUGAGAGGGGGGGUCGAAAAAUGAGUCCUGUCGCAUUAGAUUUGGGUCAGAAAAAAAAAGGGGCGAGCCAGCGAAGCGGAGGCUGCUGCAGACGGCGGGAGACUUAUCUGUCGCACCUUUUGGUGCUUCUCUGACGCCUUUCUCUGCAAAACACCUGACGGGACAGGAGGAGGGGCCAACGAAAACGGGGGUGCAGGAGACACAAGGACUAAAAGACAAAAAAAUGAGGUCAAGAAAGCAGAAGAUUCUUGGUCUGUAACAGUCAAAUACAGAAAUCAAUGUCAAAAAUUGUUUAAGGCUUCACUCAAAUUUUAACAGACAUCCAAAGACUACACAUUCUCACUCUCAACUCGAUAUAUAUGGACGUACGGUUUGGGCCCCCUCCGCGUCACUUUUUAUGUUUUGGAAGCCCCCAACUUGCUUUUUAUGACAUGCUGGCCAUUUCCAUUAAUUCAUGGGUCCCUAAUGGGAUCCAGUAAUAGAUGUGGAACUGGUACUGGAUUAGGGUACCUGGACUAUACCGGUACCUGUCCGUUAUUGGUCCGCGUCCUGAGGGUUGGGGACCCUGAUUAGUGUCUGUGGCCUUAUACCAAGCGGCCUGGAGGUUGAUUUAAUGGUUACAUCAUUAUAUUUGUUAAAUUUCCAUUCUAAAGUCGUAUGUCUUUGGUCAGAAAAUAAAUUUUUUCAUAACUACUGAUUUUUUUGUAACAAAAGCUGAACUCUCAUUUAAGAAACUUUGAAGCUUUUUCAUUCUUUUUUUUAUUUUUUUUUUUACCUGAAACAGAAGGAUGUGAUCUAAAAAACGAUCAAUCCAAGGAUUUGAUAAUUCUAUGCCACAUUUUCUAUGUUAAGACAGAUUUGAUUUGAUCAAUCUUUUUUUUCACCUCAAAAAAAGUAGUUAUUCUGACUGAACCUGAACCCCAUAGUAAAAUGCGACUACUUUGAAAAGAAUUCUAUAGUAACGAGAAGAUAAAGUCCAAUUUUUAACACGCUUCUGUCUACAGUGACUAUAGGAAAACUAUGGUGCUAGAACUAGUCUUGGAUGACUUGGAUGGUACUGGAAAAGUUAUACUGGUUAGGUAAUAUAAGUAAAUUGGAUAAGGUUGAACCAGAACUGGACUCAGCUGAUUGGUUGUGGUUUAAAUGACAAACCAAUGAACAGCAUAUAGACUCGUCCAGUACACAUGCAAGCCAAGUACACACAAUACAGCAAUACUUUGACAUGAACUAAAGCUUACAACUGUUUUCAACAAGGCAGGGACUUUUCAAGGGUAGCCAAUUAACUUCUACCACCAACUUUUUAAAGUUAGGAUGGUCUGGGUACUUUGGUUAAGUUACUUACAUAUUGGGGCUGAUUUAUUAGCCCACAAAAAUGCUCAAGCCAAAGAACCACAAAACAAAAGGUCAAAACAAUCAAUUUAGCAUUUUAUCAUUUACUUUUUGGGUUUGUUUCUGUCCUGCCCCAAAACCUGCUUCUUUGCCCGUACAGCUUCCCCCAACCUUACAUUUACCAUCCAAGUGAAGAGAUAUGGAAAAAUAGUUUCUUCAAAUUCAGACUUUACAACAUCAUCAAUAGUCGCUGGUCAUACGUUAGUGCAAAUCUGCCAGCAUUUAAAAAAACAAUUAUAAUAUUGAUUAAAAACAAAAAUUAAUACUUAAAUUUAAAUGUAAAUUCUCAACAUCCACAUGAAAAAAAUGUUUCUCCUCCGCCCAAAAGUGUGACGAGGAUCAUCCUACUAGGAAAGGGAUUGGCAGGCCUAAGUUUUUUCAGCUCCUCCAUAGAAAAAAAAAAAACUUUCGUACACCACCACUGCUUCAAAUGCCCCUUCAGUUGGUGCAAUAGGUACGAGCAACAGGGAUAGGGAAGCAAUACUUUUAUCUUAACAUCGGAAGGGAGUCUCAAAACCACAACUAGAUACUCAAAACUCAUCUUACAUUGUUUCUCUUCAUUAUCUGGUCUGUUUUCUUGUUGUCAUUUGAAAGUCAACUUAAUCUGAACAAUUGACUACUUAAAGGGAAAUGUUCACUUCCACACUCUUCCAAUUGAGCAACUUUAAGGAUAGAAUUCCAGCACACGAUGCAAGAGAACUACAUUUACCCAAAGAUAAAAAAACACUAUAAAGUGUUCAGGGAAAGUGCUUAACUGCCCAACUCAGUCUGUGAUAGAGGUUGGCUCUGGGGCUUUAAACCCCAAACCACAAAAAUCAAGGAGAAAAAUCUCUAAAAACUUAACUAGAUGUUGCUUUGAGGCCCUAAAUGCCAAGCGUGUCAAUCCUGCCCAAAGACUUCAGCUAAAUUUAGAAUGUGCUACAGUUUGGCACCAACCAAAUGUCACUACUCGCAACUAUCUCAAACCGUAAACAUUCCCCCUGACAGACUGCUCAUGACUGGUGACCUUUCCAGGGUCUACUCUUGACGGAUAGAAGAUGUGAGCAUUCCAUGUGAAAAAAAAAAAAAAUGUGGAAUUCAAAAAACAUUGAUUUAUGGUGUUUCUGUAUAGUUUUUGUAAAUUCAUAACCAUUUUUUAAGCCCAAAGCGAAUCCUGUGUGGAGUUUUCGAUGAUAUUAAUGUAAAUUUAUGCUUUAGCUUUCAAAUGCUGACAUUGCAUUCAUGAGAACCAGGGUCAAUCGAAGGUUAAUUUUAUAAAGAAUAUUUAUAAGUUAUGGAAAAUGGGUUUUUGAGAGGUCAGUACCCUAGUAGUUAGUUUUUCACCACUUUGCUGCCUAUUUUUAGAAGAUUUAAAGAAGUCAGUAAAGUCUCUUGACGAUUUCCCACCUUACCUUUUUCUCCUUUACCCACAUCUGUUGUGUUUUUCCCAAUAAAGAGAAGAGUGAUGGCCGCUCCAAGGCUAAUUAGGAUGUCUGAGAGGCAAAACACUAAUAGACUAGUAAUAGAGUCAGAUGGGAGGCACAGAUGCUGGAUCUCCUAGCAGUCACAAAGCAUCAGAAGAGGGAACUGGGAAAAAGGCAUGCUGCGAGAGGAGAUAAAAACGAGCCUAGGAGGUGUUGGAGAGAGAUAUAUGGUGUAAUUGAGACUGUAAUGGGUUUUGUCAGGAGCACCUGUCAGGGUCAAGUUAAAAUGGCUCCGGUGAUGGGGAGGAGAGAGAGGAGACAAUGGGAAAGCAAAGAGAGGGGCCAAUUGGAGUCAGGAUCCUCAUAUGAAGAGCCUCUUCUCUAUGCCAACCUCGCCUGAUUGCUAAUUUGCGCCAGUCAACGGGCAUCAAACGGCAAGUCUCACAAUGCACAUAAAUAUUACUGAUUGGAGUGCGGUUACCUGUUAAAAGCACCCGUUCACAUCCAACCCGCACAAAUACACCACGACAAGCCAGGCUGAUUAUCCGCUUCUCAGUGCCUAACAAGGUGUCCACGUAAGCGUGUGAUUGAAAAGCACAACUGCCACUGGUAAAUACCAAACUCUCCCCCUGCGUCUAAAUGAAAAAUAAGGGUGGAGGGCUUAUUAGAUUGGUGCCUGCUGCGCCAACCUAAGUUCUGCACCUUGUUCAUUACCAGCCCCCCCACCUGUGUCGAUCACCCACCACCCCGCAAACUGUCUGUAAUAGAAAAACCAAUUCUCACUUAAGAGUUGAGGUCCAUGCCUCAGGGGAGAUGAAAUCAAGUAGAGUGGGAUUUAUUUAUAAGUCGCAGCUAAAGCUGCACCUAGCAAUCCUGUCAAACUCCAACGGCCAGGAGAAAUAAGUCAAAUCUGGGACUUUUCAGGGGGAAAAAUAUCAGUUUAGGUGCUGUCAGCUAGAUGGAUCACACUAGGUGUAUAUAUAUAUAUGUGCGCGUGUAUGUGUGUAGAAACUUCAAUGUUUUUAUGUAUUUUAAUUUCACGUUAUAAAAUUAGCAGGAUGUAACUAAAGGCUCUUUCCCUUAAGAAAAAAUAACAAAAAUUUUAUAUUUUCCACGAGGGCAAAAUUAUGUUUGUGUUAAUAGUAUUGUUCUUUGUUAACAUAAACCUUAGAAACUACAAGUUUCAUAUACAUAAAAAAUAAAAGGAUGUAACCAAGUGAGGAAAGUGAGGAAAAAUUACUCAACUCUUCAAUUUAAAAAUAAAUAAAUAAAUAAAUAAUCAGUUUGUUCUGUCACCAAGAUGGACCACAUUAGGUAUAUAUAUAUAUAUAUAUAUAUAUAUAUAUAUAUAUAUAUAUAUAUAUAAAACUUUGAAACUUUGGUAACUACCAAGUUUAAUACAAAUUAAAUGUAAGUAAAGGCUUUUUUGCUUGAGGAAAAAUAACUUCAAUUUAGAAUUUUUAGCAAGUAUAUAUAUACAGUUUCAUUCUUUAAUUCCAAUAUUGAAAACAGAGACUUAGAUAACUGUGAAGUUACUGUUUGUUUUAAUGUCAUAUUCAUUUAAAAUGCAUAUAGGACACUGUAUCAAAACUUUUUUCUGUUUUUUUCCCAUUAUUUAGGGAAUUACUUCUUCUAAAUACAAUAAAGUUAUUUAUCCCUUUACCACCCAUGUAUAUGUUAUACUUAUCUAUAAUUAUUGUUUAUUAGGCAUCAAUUUAAAACUAUUUAUUAAAUGCCAAAAUAAAGCAAUAGAAAUCAGUUUUGUUUAGUAUCAACCCAAUUACUAAGCGAACACUCGUUUGUUCGCCCGUUCCAUGGUGGCCUCAUCUGUAUCCGCCCACACUGGCUUGAGUGGGCACUCAGUAGUCUGGCUCGCUGGACAGCGGAGCUUGCUAACUCGCAACGCUGUCCGCUGGGCAGCUUGUUAGCUCGCACGAUGCCCACUGGGCGGCUGGUUUGCGUAGGGACCCAGACCACUGAGUCCCCACCCAAGCCACUGUGGGCAAACACAGAUGGGGCUGCCAUGGAACAGACCAACCUGGGGCCCAACAAUUCAGCUCAAAGGUAAACCAUAUUGUGCCCAUAUUGACUUGUUCGUUGGAUUAAGUGACUAUUAAAAAGCUGUUUAGCAGAAGUACAAUCAGCAGUUUGCAUCAGUUGUUUUUUGUUUAAUUCUAAGCUGAGCAUCCAGUAAGAGACAAUGGACAGAAAUUACUCAAAACUUGCUGAACUAAAACUGCAAAUGAAAACCACAACUUAAGCUGUAAAGACAAUCACAAAAACCCGAAAACAUCUGCUUAAAAAGUUGAUAAAUAAGUUUCCACCUGUUAGAACUGUGAGAAUUGUAGGGAUAAACAAGGGAAUUGCAGUUGCAAGCUUCACUUAAAUUGAAGUUAAAGGAGGAUUUUUUGUUAAAUAUGAAAAAAAAUCUACCUACAGAACCUACCUUACAGCCAAUAAAAUAUAUCAUUAAUGCCCUUACAUAAAUCAUCUUAGCAUCUAAAUCUCUUGCUAUCAAAAAAUGUAAUAAAUUAACAAAAAGUUAGCUUUAAUUUAUUGUUUUUUUUUUUUUUAGUAAUGAGGUGCAUUUGCGCAUUUAUACACUAGGGGGCCUAAUCUGUCAACUCGAAUUAAAAAGGCUUUCUUGGAAAUGAGACGUGAGGCUUUAAUUUCAAGCCACCAAUAUUUUAUAAGGUAGAGUUGAUAAAACAACACCUCAAGGUUUAUUUGUCAACACAGGCAUAAUAUAGAUCCUUCUUUUCAAUGAAUUAAUUGUUUUUCGGCCUUUCUUUUGUUUACUCACAAAUUUGUAAGCUGUUUCCCUGCAGGCGCCUCGGGGUAAACACCGGGCUUCGUUUCGCAGAACUUCGAACGCUAAGAAUAUUUUCUAUAAUUUAGGAGCAUUACUAUUGACUCUUCAUUUCCCCCGUCUGCACUUCAGACCACAUUUGCUCAAUAGUUUUAGGCGUCAAAAAUUAAUAGAGGCAAAGAUGGAGAAAUUCUUAAGCUCAGAAAUCGAAAGUAUUCCCUUUAAAAAAAAAAAAAAAAAAGUCAAUUUUGAAUUCUGCAGAUGUCCUGCGGCCUUCAGUGUUAGUUAAAAGUUAAAGGAAUAACCAGUGGAAACUUUUUCACCUUCAGAGUCCUCCAUAACUCUGAACAAGUUAUACGCCGCCGCUGCAGCAGCAGCUGCUGCAGGCUAUCUGAGCUCAAAUGCAAGUUUUUUCAGGAGGAAAAACAAUAAUACUCAGCAGUGUGGAAGGAAAACUCCUACAAUUGGCCUGGGGGGACAGUGUUGUAAAGAAGGUCAAGUGUCCCACAUAUUUCAUACUGAAUCACCAUUAUUAAUGAAGGAUAAUUCAGUUCAGCUUCCCCCCUCAGAUUCCACACUCCGCCGCCAACGCUGGUCAAUUCCAGAGCUGGUAUCGAGCCGAGGCCGUGGUCAGAAUGAGACUUUGAUUUCUCCACGGUGUCGAAUUCCCAUCAGGGAGCGCAUUGAUGAAGUGCAUGUGAGUGCAGCGAGCGUGCGCUUUAAGCUCCUUUUGAUUUACUGCUGCUCAAGAACAAUACUUUUCAUUAGCGGCUGAUAGCAUUCAUUAAGAGUGAUUCAGCAUGGCUGCUAAUGGUCUGAUUUGCUCUCGAACACUUCAUUCCCCUUCAGAAACCUGCAAACACACAUAGCACAAACACAUUCCCAAAUUGGUGGAUAGUGUCUGGUAAUAUUUGUGAAAGAAGCUUGGUGGUGUAACCAUCCACCUUCAUCUGAACCUGAUGGUGACAUUUCAUCUUCGCGGUUGCACUUUGUAGUCCAGUGAUGAAAUCAAUAAACUUUGGUUUAUUGAACAAUACAUAGAGGGAUUUUGACUUCCAAAAUUAAAGCUUAAUGUAGAGUUUAUAAACCAAAAUGGAGCAGGGUCAAUUCACCAUGUUAGCAGUGGGGGGCCUUUUGGCCCAGUUUGGAUCCCCAUUGACUCCAAUGGUUAAAUAUUCAAUGGUAGAAGGAAACAUUUUUGCCUCUGGUUGUAUACAUUUUUUGCCCUUUGACAUUUUGGAUGUCCCCAACUUGUUGUUUUUUUCACAUGCUGGCUGUUCAGUCCCCGACCUUCGGGCUGUGAACUGGUACUAGUUUGAAGGCCGCUUGGUACCGAGCCUAAGACAGAAAAAAAUGCAUUCACUAAUAACGGGCCCCCAACCCUCAGGACGCAGACUGGUACUGGUACCCUAACUGUAACCCAGUACCGGUUUCGCAUCCAAUAGCAUGUCUGAUACUGCGUCUGAUACCGUGCCCGGUACCGCGUCCAGUACUGCAUGAUUUAAUGGGAACAGCCAGCACAUCAAAGAAUGAAUCAGUUGGGAACACCCAAAAUCUCAAAAAGUGAAACCAUACGUCUCUAUAUGACAAGUUGGGAGUGAGAAUGUGUAGAAGACAGAAUCAGCUGAUCACAUAAACCAGGAACUGCAGAAGAAAAUGGCCAAACAGAAAAAAAAAAAAUAGAUCAUACAUCUCUGAUAAUUUUCGUGGAGGCGGGCUGUGGUUUGGGUACCCCUGGUUUAAACAAUCAAAGAGUUACGGUGUGUCUAAGAAUGUGUUAUUUAGGUAUUGCCGGUGACAUCUCUAGUUUUAAAGGGUUAUCUGUCCUGAAAGUAUGUUUUUAACAUCUUAAUGGUUUUAUUACACAUUUACCAUUUUUAGAAAGUCAGGAGUCAUGAAAACACUGCACUGUCAUAAUCCAAAAAUCUAUUGUAAAUGGCGUCUAUUGAAACUCACAGGUCAUGUGACUACAGCUCAUUAGUAAAAGCACAGUUAUGGCGAAUGCGCUGAUAUGCACUAUAACAACAUAACUCAGGUUUUAGUAUGAUAUAAAGUGACAAAUAAUUUUUUAAAGAAUGUACUAUUAAAUCAUUUCCAGUCUGUUCAUUUCUACUGUUGUGUUCACCAACUCCAAGCUUUCUUGUGUUUUAUUUAUAUUUCACGGGUUUAUUUUGGUAUGAUGCUCCUCCAUGUUUCUCAUCAAUCAUAGUUCUAUCUAGACCCUCAACAGAGAGGAGAGAAAUGCAGGAAGGACCUUUGACAGAGCCACGCUGGAGAGGGACAUACAUAAACAUGAGGUCACCCAGGGGGAGACGGGGGAGGAGGAGGAGGACGAGCUGGUGGAAGAAAGAAAAGUGUGAGAAUGAGGAAGAGAGGCAGAAAUGGAGCUUCAGAAAGGUUGUGUCUCAUUGACGAGCUCACUCCAUUCAGGGAAAGCCACCGAUCAAUGCCGCCGCGUUCGGCAUCAACCUGUGGGGCAUCGUGUUGGCGUGUGUGUGUGUGAGCGGCAGAGUGUGUGCUUGCAAUGCGGAACACGUCAGGAGUCCCGGGGAGCCCCUUUUGCAGCAAAGCCUCAUUAAAGAGACACUAGCCUUAAAGCAAGGAUGUAGUGUCAGACCACACACACUCAUGCAAAUCCAAAAGCAGCUUCCGACAAAUCAAAUCCAAAACCUCAGCUGAGAGAUUCCUGAAACGCUCUCCGCUCUAAUCCUUUCUUCCAUUUCCUGUCCUCCUUCUCCGUGUGAAUAAAGUUUAAUUCAUCCACCCUCACACCAAACACACACUCGCACACUAAUAUAAUAUUCAUGUAUAUUUGAUUGUGUCAACUCUGCAGAGAUUGGCCGGGCUGUUUCUAGUGUGCCUUCUUAAAAAAAUGCAUCUAUGAAUAAAUAAUUCUGUACGCGCUGAUUGAAAAAGCCAUAUUGCCAAAAAAGCCAUGAUGAAAUGAUAAUGUAAUGCUAAAUAAAACAAAGCAACCCCCCCCCUUUUUAUGUCUUAUUUAUUUAUUUAUUUUUACUGAAAAUUGUCGCAGUGAAUAAAAGCUGACGCCUAAUAAAAACCCUCAUGUACGCUUUGCACUGUGUUUUAAUAAAGACUCUCCUUUCUAUA